CAUAAGAGAGAUAGACUGCGUGUGUAGGUUAGCAUAAGUGGCACCCUGUUAGAGAAAGACAGACUCUCUUAUGUCAAUGUGUAAGACAAAGACACCAUACCUUCUAUCAAUGCUUGGUAUAUGGAAAGAAGGUAUGUUGUCUUUCUCUAAUAGGGUGCCACUUUUGCAAACCUACACAUGCAGUCUAUCUCUCUUAUGUCUAUGUCAGAGCCACGCUAAUAAGAUCAAGAUUUAUCUAACCUAAAAAAUUGUUUAGAUCAUAAAUAAUAAAUCAUUCUACUUUCUUAUUCCUUCAAAAUGCAGUAUUCUUCAAUUGCUAUUGUAAUAAUUUAUAUUACCCUAGUGGAAAUAAAAAAUGUAAUAAAGUGUAAUAAAAUAUAAGAAAAUGUAACAAAUUGUUGGAUUUCUGACCUUUUUUACAUUUUAUUACAGUUUGCUACAUUUUAUUACAUUUUGUUACGUUUUAUUACAAUUUAUUACAAAUCCAUUGAUCCAGGAUUUCAUGGGGGUCUCUUCUUUGAAACGACAAAUGUAACAAUACGUAAAAAAGCAUAACAAAAUAUAGAAAAUAUUAGGCGGUAAAAUAACAUAUGUAAUAAAAUGUAAAAAAAAGUUAACAAAUCUGUAAAUGUAAGAAAGUGUACAAAAACGUAUGAGAAAAAAGGUCCGAAAUCCAACAAAAAGGGUAGCUAAGUCUUAUUUUUGUGUAAUAAUGCAUAAUUAUUGCAAAUAAUGAAAAAACAACGACGUAAAGUGAAGGCGGUAAUAUCAGUGAAAUAGCUAUUACUUUUAGAUCCAAUGUUGAAUUAAAUACAAUUUUGUACUAAUUGAGUCAAUAAAAACUCUGUGUUCGGCAAUAACCUACAGAAUAACAAACAAUUAUCAAUUCGAUUUAUGAUGGUUGGAAGAAUAUUGAAGGAAAAUAAUGUAAACUACAACUUAAGGUGGAGGUCACAAUUGGUCAUGGUGGCUCAGACAUCCCCUUAAGUACAGCUAAGAUUGAAAAUAUGAUGUACUAACAAUAGCAUCAAUUACAGUUGCAGGGCCUCAUAGAUAAAGCAAAUGAUUCUUUAUAAUAAUGUAUGCAAAAACAUUCUAAACAUGGUUUAAAAGACUUACUGGAAAUAAAUAUACAGCAUAUUAUGACUAUAAUAGAUCACACUAGCGAUUGGUUUGGUGUUUUUGCUAUGUAAACAUUAUAUCAUCGGUUUAUUUAAGAAAAAAAAUGUGACUGUAACAUCAGUGCAAGUGCAAGUUUAGACAUAUUCUUACAUCACCUUAAAAUCGUUAGGGAUUCUAUAUACCAUAAAUGAUAGACAUAGUCUUAAUGAAUACCAAUUAUUAAAUAAGUAAAAACAAAAGAAAAUGUUGGCAUUUUAAAAAUGUAAAUAAUAAGUUUUACCGAUUUAAGUUUGACAAAUCUAUUGUAUCCAUAUCAAUGACGUGCAUCUGCCUAAAACCCAUCAGGGCUAAAUUUUUCAAGCAUUCACAACCUAAACCCCCAGCUCCAAUUACCAGUAUUUUACAAUCAUGCAUCAAAAACUUUAAUGCCUCA
rnacentral:lncRNA from 1 species